GGCGGCAUGCCUUACACAUGCAAGUCGAACGGUAACGCGGGGCAACCUGGCGACGAGUGGCGAACGGGUGAGUAAUACAUCGGAACGUGCCCAGUAGUGUGGGAUAGCCCGGCGAAAGCCGGAUUAAUACCGCAUACGACCUAUGGGUGAAAGCGGGGGACCGUAAGGCCUCGCGCUAUUGGAGCGGCCGAUGUCAGAUUAGGUAGUUGGUGGGGUAAAAGCCUACCAAGCCAACGAUCUGUAGCUGGUCUGAGAGGACGAUCAGCCACACUGGGACUGAGACACGGCCCAGACUCCUACGGGAGGCAGCAGUGGGGAAUUUUGGACAAUGGGGGAAACCCUGAUCCAGCCAUGCCGCGUGCGGGAAGAAGGCCUUCGGGUUGUAAACCGCUUUUGUCGGGGAAGAAACGCUCUGAGCUAAUACCUC
rnacentral:rRNA from 1 species